AGGAAGAGCCUGAGUGAUUCCAAGCCCAGGAUGGAGGUGUGCCCUUAUUGUAAGAAGCCAUUUAAGCGAUUAAAAUCCCACUUGCCGCACUGUAAAAUGACAGGAUCAUCCAUACCCGCUGAUCAAAAAGUUUCUCAGUCCAAGACAGCGACACUUACUAAAAAAGAGAAGAGGCCCACCAGAGACUUAACCAGAGCUGAAGAGAAGGAGCUAGAGAGAGAGGGUCCGAAAAGAACUGUGAAAGUGGAAACCAGCCAAGCAGAGUGGACAACUGCAGCCUCUCCGCUUCCAGAGGGUGCCUCGGAAGGCACCCAUACAACAAAAGCAGGAGAAACCAAAGAGAAAAAGCUGCUCUCCUUCCGAGUACUCAGGCGCACCAAGCCAGAGGUGACUCUGCAGAGAGUCACAGCCCCUCAGUCUCCUCCCAAGAUAGAAUCCACCAGAGAUGUGUCUGAGUCCAAGGGAAGUCCACGCUGCCCCUCAGAGACAGAAGCAUCUUCACUGGUCAGCUCAAGGGAACCUUUUUCUACUAAGCAAGACAGAGAGCAUGUGUCAGCUCAGCCUCAUGCUAAACCAGCCACUUCUGCCAGGCUCAGAUUGGACACAGCGGAUCCCCAAAGGCAGAAGCUUCUGGUAAAAUUA
rnacentral:lncRNA from 1 species